rnacentral:ncRNA from 2 species
CUCUUAUCGAGAGAGGUGGAGGGACUGGCCCUGUGAAACCCGGCAACCUGCCCGUUCGGGCGUAAGGUGCUAAAACCAGCGACUGUGAGGUCGAAUGAUAAGAG